UUGCACGCUGGCGGCAUGCCUUACCCCUGCCAGUCGAACGGUAACGGGCCUUCGGGUGCCGACGAGUGGCGAACGGGUGAGUAAUACAUCGGAACGUGCCCGAUCGUGGGGGAUAACGAGGCGAAAGCUUUGCUAAUACCGCAUACGAUCUACGGAUGAAAGCAGGGGACCGCAAGGCCUUGCGCGGACGGAGCGGCCGAUGGCAGAUUAGGUAGUUGGUGGGAUAAAAGCUUACCAAGCCGACGAUCUGUAGCUGGUCUGAGAGGAUGAUCAGCCACACUGGGACUGAGACACGGCCCAGACUCCUACGGGAGGCAGCAGUGGGGAAUUUUGGACAAUGGGCGCAAGCCUGAUCCAGCCAUGCCGCGUGCAGGAUGAAGGCCUUCGGGUUGUAAACUGCUUUUGUACGGAACGAAAAGCCUUCUUUUAAUACAGGAGGGUCAUGACGGUACCGUAAGAAUAAGCACCGGCUAACUACGUG
rnacentral:rRNA from 1 species